AUGACGCAAAGAAACUUUGAACACCGCUCUGCAUACCGCUGUAAAAAAGCAUUGGGUAUCCCGUCUGGACCACACGCCUUCUUUGUGUCCAGCCGAGGAGCCUAUCUAAGACACCUUCUGUGAACACUUCGACAUCGCAGAGACCAAAGCAGGUAGAAGAGAAAGGUGGUUCCGUACAGUCGUCGUUGGUGUACACAGAGGCAAACCACCCGUUGAAUUCAUCCGCGAUUCUCGCGCCGUCGACAACUGCCACCCCAUUGAGUUUAAUCUCUUUAACCUUAUUGUCCUUUUUAACCAGAUGACGCCAGAACCGUCUUGGAUUGCGUUUAAGAAAGUUGUGCAUAGUAACAUUAAAGAAGUGGAAACGAGAACGGCGUACUAGUGAACGCAAUUUUUGACGCAGUACCGAGAGUGAGCCUUUGUGCCCUGGAUGGAACCUUUCUAUCCUAUUUAUUUUACGUUUCAACUGUAAAAUCUUACGCGUUACCCAAGGAUUACGCUUCCUUCCGCUUCACUGUGCGCAAAGGCACAAACUUUUCGAUGCACUCCAGGGCCAAAUUCUUAAAGAAAAUCCACCUUUUGUCAACAGAGACUGCGGUAUCCUCACAAAGCACAACAAAAGAUUCUUCCAGCAUGUAUCCAGCAUACAACAUCAGUAUCACUUGCCCUGCUGAAAUCACGAUAUUUGUUGGUCUCAAUAUUUGUCCCCCAGUUAAUUGACAUGUUCAAUGUGCAAACAACUGCAUCGUGGUCAGAUAUUCCGUCUGCGAUCGACACAUCAAUUAGCGUAUUUGCUGCAGCGUCAGAUAAGAAAACGAGGUCAAUCAUUGGUCCUACGCGUGGGAGCAUCUACCACAUGCGAUAAGUUGUUAUCAAAAGCGAUAUCAGUUAAGAGCCGAGAGUGUUCACAUUCAGCUGCAGGCAACAUGUUUUUCCAGUCUAUUAGGGGGAGGUUGAAGUCGCCAGCCAAAACCACAGAUGGAAAUUCCUUAGAUUUCGUGUCGAGAAAGUGGGACAAUUCAUGAAGUACAUCUGUACUUGCUCGAGGGCACUAUAGAAUCCUCCCACCAAAAUCGAACAAGUGUGACUCUUUACAGCAACCCAAACCAUCUCCCAUCCGUGGUCAUGUUCAACAACUGAUGCAGAGAAGCACUCCUUAACAAGUAUGGAAGUUUACGGAUGCAGCAUCACAGAAGAUCAUCAACUCUGUGCAAAUUGAGGUUGGGGAGUCAGAAGAUAUCGGAUCCAGCCGCCACAUGGAAAAGGCCGGGUUCAUAAGAUGCCUGGACGAAGUGAAGUGCAGGGGUAUUACAGUUGCAUCUAUCACUACUGAUCGCCAUCUUGCCGUCCGAAAGCACAUGCGUGAGAAUGAGCCAACCAUUGUCCAUCGAUUUGACACCUGGCAUGUUGUAAAAGGGUGAAAGGAAAAGCUUGAAGCUGCAGCCAAUUCCCGUGCAUGUGCUGCCCUAAAACCAUGGGUGCAGCAUAUUUGUAACCACCUUUACUGGUGUAGUGGCAACUCUGAGGGGAAUACAGAGCUUCUGCUUAGCAAGUUUGACCCAGCAUGUUAUCAACAUCCACGACAGCCAUCACGGACCAUACAACCGUUGCCUCUACGGUGACCUUAGCGACCGGAGACCCUGGCUGCAGCCUGGUAACUGGAGGGCGUGAGAGUACAUUUGCUUCCUAGCCCAUAUCGACUAAUGUGUGCA